UAUUAAAAAUUUUAUCUAUUUCUACUAUUAAAAGCUAGUAUGAUUAAUAAAAUAAUACCAAAUGUACCUUAUUUUGGCAUAUAUGAAUUAAUUUUUAACAGUAAAAAUGAAUAAAAUUUUUGAUA
rfam:Gossypium arboreum cultivar AKA8401 contig_1203_3, whole genome shotgun sequence.